GCUCCAUUUAGUGCCGAGAAGAAAACGAACCUUUUCAGGACUAAAACACGAAUGAUGGAGGGAAAGAGAUCAGACUCACCAGAACCCAGCUGUGUGUCCAUGAAGAGUGACCGGUCAAUGAACCCCCCAUAUAACUUCAGAGACAGAGAUAGUCCUGCUGAUCUGAGUUACCCUGCCUUUUUGAAGGGACUACCUGCUGAAUCUUGUGAAGAAAUCUCCCCUUUGUAUUUGUAUGCCAUUGUUUUUGCCAUAACUUGCUUACUUUAGUUUUGAUUAUGGUUUUAACUUCGUUUUUACUUAAUGGCACACCUAAAUCACCCAAACUCAAUUGAAGGGCUUUUUUGGCCAGAGAGUCCACUACUUCAUUGCCAUGUAUUUCUACAUGUGCUGGAACCCAAAUGAAACUUACAGCUAUAUCCCUAUGAUUUAAACUGUAUAAACUCUGAUAAAUUUCAUAUAUUAAGUCAAGCCUGCAAGAAGACUGAAAAUUUAGAAUACUGACCAAAGCUGCCAUGGAAUCUGAACAUAUAACAAAACUGUUUGGCUUAGAAUCUUCUAUCCAGACCAGUGCAAAUAAAAUAGCUAACAGCUCCACAGAAUAAACUGCCAGGUUGUCUGAUGUUCUACGCUUAAGUGAUGUUUCAAACUCCGGUAUGUAUACUGCUGCUCCUGUCUUUCCUGUGUCUGGAUCUUUUGAACCAUCAGUGUAUACUUGAACCAUUCCAUUAUAUUUAGUGCUUAGGUACUGUUGCACCAUAGCAUUCAUCCCACCAUAUUCGUUACCAUGCUUUGACAGCUUAGCAAUUUCAAAAUCUACUGUAGGCAUGGGGAAUAACCAAGGAGGAGUAGCUGGUAAUGCUACUGUGCAGCUCAGAGAUAUUUUUGUCAAGCCCAACUUCUCAGCUUCACCAUCUCCUAUCCAUCCAAAACUAUUAUAUUGCUUGUGCCCAUGUUCCCAACACUUUUCUAGGACUGCUUUAGUUGGGUGAUCCUGUCUGUGUCCCUGCAAUGUGGCCCAGUAAGUCAUGUUUAGCUGUAAUCGUCACAGUGAAAGUGGCAUUUCACCAACCUCUACCUGCAGUGCUGGAACUGGUGAAGUCUUAAAAGCCCCACAACAUAAACGUAAAGCCUGUGCCUGAAUAACAUCCAGUUUCUGCAAAUGGGAUUUUGCAGCUGACCCAUAUGUAAUACAUGCAUAAUCUAGGGCUGACCUAAUUAAAGCAGUAUAGAUGUGCUUAAGAGACCUCAUACUUGCACCCCAGCUACUUCCUAUGAGACAUCUCAUAAUAUUUACUGCCUUUUUGCACUUGGUUAUGACCUUCUGGAUAUGUUCUCCAUAUGUUAAUUUAUAGUCCAUCCACACACCUAGAAAUCUAAUACAUAAGACUUGCUUAAUUGGCUGCCCAUAAAGAGUAAUCUGAACAUUAGGGUUAACUUGCUUUUUGGAGAAACACAUUACUUGGGUUUUAUCAACAGAGAAACGAAAACCCCAUUUGUUACCCCACUCUUCCACAUUAUUGACAGCUACUUGUAGUUUCUUUUGCACAAAUGCUGCAUUACGGCCUCUGACCCAUAGCGCCCCAUCGUCUGCAUAUAAUGACCUACCAAGACUAGCAUCAACUCCAGAAAAAACAUCAUUAAUCAUAAUGUUAAAAAGAAUAGGACUACAUACACUGCCUUGGGGAGUUCCAUUUUCUAUGGAGUAAGUAUUAGAAUGAGAUGCCCCAACCCUUACUUCUAUACUCCUGUCCCUUAAAAAAUCCAUCACCCAGUUAUACAUUCUCCCACCUAUGCCCAAGGAAUCUAACUUGAUGAGAAGACCCUCUUUCCACAGCAUAUCAUAUGCCUUCUCCACAUCAAAAAAUACUGCAUUCACUUGCUCCUUGUUGGUCUGAGCCUUCCUGAUCUCAUUUUCUAGACGUACAACUGGGUCCAUGGUGGUCCUUCCUUUCCUAAAUCCACUCUGAUGGCAAGUAAACAAAUUUCUGCUUUCCACCACAUAUGUUAGUCUGUCUGUAACCAUACGUUCCAUAAUUUUGCACAUAUUUGAUGUUAAGGCAAUGGGUCUAUAGCUAGUUGCCUCACACUUAUCUUUACCAGGUUUUCCAAUAGGUAUAAUAACGGAGUGCUUCCAAGCCAGUGGUAGGGUCCCUGAUUCCCAUACCCUAUUAUAUAGUUUUAAAAUUAUUUCCUGAGCUUCAGGGGUUAAACACUCCACCAUCUUAUAGCAUAUUUCAUCCUUACCAGGGGAUGUUGCUCUAACCCCAGCCAAGGCUCUUUUCAGCUCAAAUAAGGAAAAAGGAACAUCCAAUGCUCCAUUACCAUCAUUCUUUUUAUCAAAUAUGUUAGGGUGAUCUCUUAACAUUUCAUUUCUAGCUGCUCUUGCUUCUGGGGUCAAAUUCUCAGAGCUAUGAACUCUUACAAAUGUUUUAGCUAAUGCUUCAGCCUUGUCUUCAUUGCUGAUCAUGACUUCAUCCUUAUACCUUAUAGCUGGCAGUGUGAACUCCCUUCUAAUCCCACCCAUCUUCCUUAUCAUACUCCACACAUCAUUAAUUUGAAUAUCCCUUCCUAUUUUACUACAGAAAUGUUGCCACUGUUGUCGCUUGGCUUGUCUAACUACUCUCCUAACAACUGCUUGGGCCUUCUUGUAUGCCACUAAGUCAUUAAAAGAAAAUGUAGCUUUAACUUUCUUAAAAGCUUUGUUCCUUUCCUGUAUAGCCUUUUUGCAGUCAUCUGUCCACCAAGGAACCAUUUUACGCUGUCCAUGGCCACUGCCCUUACCAAUAAUCUGUAAUGCAGUAGAAUGCAUAACUUCUGUUAUUAUUCCAUUAAAAUCAUCCACGCUAUCACAA